rnacentral:rRNA from 1 species
AUUGAACGCUGGCGGCAUGCUUUACACAUGCAAGUCGAACGGCAGCGCGGGCUUCGGCCUGGCGGCGAGUGGCGAACGGGUGAGUAAUACAUCGGAACGUGCCCAGUAGUGGGGGAUAGCUCGGCGAAAGCCGGAUUAAUACCGCAUACGACCUGAGGGUGAAAGCGGGGGAUCUUCGGACCUCGCGCUAUUGGAGCGGCCGAUGGCAGAUUAGCUAGUUGGUGGGGUAAAGGCCUACCAAGGCGACGAUCUGUAGCUGGUCUGAGAGGACGACCAGCCACACUGGGACUGAGACACGGCCCAGACUCCUACGGGAGGCAGCAGUGGGGAAUUUUGGACAAUGGGCGAAAGCCUGAUCCAGCAAUGCCGUGUGUGUGAUGAAGGCCUUCGGGUUGUAAAGCACUUUUGGCGGGAACGAAAAGGACUGUGCCAAUACCACGGUUCGAUGACGGUACCCGCAGAAUAAGCACCGGCUAACUACGUG